rnacentral:rRNA from 1 species
AUUGAACGCUGGCGGCAGGCCUAACACAUGCAAGUCGAGCGAGCGGCGGACGGGUGAGUAAUGUAUGGGGACUGCCCUAUAGAGGGGGAUAACUACUGGAAACGGUGGCUAAUACCGCCUACUGUCGGAUAACCCAUAGGGGAUUAGCUAGUAGGUAAGGUAAUGGCUUACCAAGCUGACGAUCCCUAGCUGGUCUGAGAGGCUGAUCAGCCACACUGGGACUGAGACACGGCCCAGACUCCUACGGAGGCAGCAGUGGGGAAUAUUGCACAAUGGGCGAAAGCCUGAUGCAGCCAUGCGGCGUGUAUGAAGAAGGCCCUAGGGUUGUAAAGUACUUUCAGUCGGGAGGCGUUACCGACAGAAGAAGCACCGGCUAACUCCGUGCCAGCAGCCGCGGUAAUUC